rnacentral:rRNA from 1 species
UAUGUGAUCGUCUCUCGCAUAUCAAUAAGCGGAGGAAAAGAAACUAACAAGGAUUCCCCUAGUAACUGGCGAGUGAAGCGGGAAGAGCUCAAAUUUGAAAUCUUAAAGGGUUUCCCUUUACGAAUUGUAGUUUAAAGAAGUGUUUUCUGUUGAGGUUUUGGUAAAAGUUCUUUGGAAUAGGACAUCAUAGAGGGCUGAGAAUCCCGUAUUUGACCUUUACUUUCAACUUUGUGAUACACUUUCAAAGAGUCGGAUUGUUUGGGAAUGCAGUCCAGAAAUGGGUGGUAAAUUUCAUCUAAAGCUAAAUAUUGGCGAGAGACCGAUAGCGAACAAGUACCGUGAGGGAAAGAUGAAAAGAACUUUGAAAAGAGAGUUAAACAGUACGUGAAAUUGUCAAAAGGGAAGCGUUUGACACCAGUGUUGUUUUUCUGAAAAUCAAUUAAAGAACUGUUUAUGCUAAGUUGUUUAGACUUUAUCAGCUAUCUGUUUAGUUUUGAGCUUUUCUUUAAUGCACUUUUCAGUUAACAAGUCAACAUCAAUUUCUUUUGCUGUAAAAAAGCUUGAGGAAGGUGGCUUGAGAUUCGUCUUAAGUGUUUAUAGCCUCUUGCCUAUGCAGUCGGAGAGAUUGAGGUCUGCAGCGUAGAUCCUUCGGGGCUAAAUGCAUUUGUGCUAAGUUAUAACAUUUUAUAGACAACUUGUUGACUAUGAUUUGUCUUGUAGCUUACUCGCUUAUGUUAUUUUACCUACGCUUAGGAUGUUGAAGUCAUCGUAUCGCGC